CGUGUUUUUCAGAGAUUUUAUUAAGAAUAAGGCAUAUGACAGUCACCCCUAAAGCACAGGGCUCUAUUUCUGUGGGUGAGUGAAUACACUCUGAAAAGCAUUGGAUACAAAAGCGCAGCCAACAGAGAAUUUGGAGCAGGGUCCCUCUGCCCUGCCACAGGGCUCCUGCCAGGUGGGUUUGAAGCCCUGCACAUCCCCCAUUCAAGGCUGGCAUGUCCAGGAGAAGGUGCUUGGAGACCCCCGGCUCCCCGCGCUUCGAAGCUGCCCCACACCCUCUAGGCCUCCUUCCUCUCUCCACCAGGGGGGACGCCAUCCUACUGCUUAUAUGGGGAAGGGUUAUCCCAUUUUGGCCCUGGACUAGUCCCCCAAGCUAGAGGGUGCUGUGGCUGAGCUGUGGGGGCCAGGGGUACAGAGCCUCAAACCGCACUGCCCAGUGCUCCCUGGCUGAUUUCCAGAGCAGGGGGAGGUCCCCACCUGCAGCUCUGUGUCCUGGAGCUGUCCAUACUUGGGGUGUGGCAGGAGCUCCGCCUAGGGACCUGAGUGUCCUCUUCAACACUCUCUCUCCCAAUGGGGAUUCGUGCAGCAGAGGAGAGAGAAAUGCAGUCCUUUCCCUUCUUAGUCACCAAGAUAUUCCAGGGGCCAGGAGCGCGUGGGGGUGCGAGGUUUCCCUUUGGCCAGGUGGGCUCUCAAGCCAGACCCAGGGAGGGUGGGGCCUCUCCAGGGCCCUGAGGCUGAGGAGAGUUGGGCCCCUGUGGCCAAGAGCGGGUGGAGGGGUUUCCAUUAUUUCCAGGAGGGCGAGGAGGGGAAUUUCUGUGAAAACUGGAACCCUGUAUCUGCUACAGGUGCUCCCCCAGCUUGCCUUAUUUCCUUUCCCAGGCACCUCCAGCACCUCAGCUGAGAGUCAGUGAGUCAGCUGCCCCAGCACCCAGAACCUUUCAUCUAGGGGAUCUCCAAGCACCUCACAAACAAUUGUCAUUAUCUGUGGUUGCUGGAAGAGGGAUGGGAGUUGGGUGGAGCUGAUGGGGUCACUUCGGGAGAAGCAGGCAGGCCACUGGAAGAUCCCUGGGACCAGAGUGCGGUGGGGGCCCCUAGCUGGACACCCUGGAUGCCCAGGAGGGAAGGGGGAAGGGGGCUAUUGCUAUAGAGCUGGGGGGAGGCCAGGCGGACGGAGCUAUGGCUUUUAGUGGGUGGGUGGGCAGAUAGAGUACUUCACCAUCUCUGCAGAAGAAUCGACCUAACAAAGUCACCCUGUUCACCCCAAAAGUGUGGUCGUGGGAGAUGAGGGUCUGUGCACGCUCCUCUGGAAAGAGACUUUGCCCUUCUUCCCACAGUCCUCUGGGCACCUCCGAGAGAGGAGUGAGGCCCUCACACACAAGACAGGUUCUGAAAGGGAGGGGGACAGAAUAGGGGUGCAGUGAGUUACACACACUUGAGGGGGGACAGAGAUGGUACAGGCGCAACCACAGGACUAGUAGAGAGUAGAGGUGGGGGCAGGCAGAGCAAGGACCCCAGGCCACCUUCUUGGCCCAAGUUGGACUGGAGAGCACUGUCCCAAGGGUGCCCCAACCUCAGCCAUCUGCAUCCCAGGAGCUGGACACCCCAGACCAGGCGUGGUUAUUGCUCAGUGGUCUUGGGCAGUCCCGAGUGGCGUCAGCUGGGAGAGCCGCACAUUGCUUGGCCCUGAGUGCGCUCGCUCACUGGUUUCUACUUCUUGCCAAUUUCCUGCUCCAACAAAUGGAGAGAAAGGGGGUGUGAUCUGGGACUCCCCCUUCUUCAUGGGGCUGUGAUGGGAGAAGAGCUCGUCACCCCUAGAGCUUGACUCUGCUCACCUCCCAGACCCCUGCGUGACAGAAUGUGUGGCCUCAGCCAGGGUCAGGACCUGUCAGGAAAGGGGUGUCUGUGAGGGAGGCAAAGGCCUCUCCCUGCCCCACGUCCUCCCCUCGAAGCCCCUGGAAGACCUCACAGGCACUUAGGACUUGAUGCAGGACCCACACAGGAGGGAUGGCACGGGCUGGAGGGGUUUGUGUUUCCUUCUAGGCUGGGCUGGGGGUGGGGGAAUAAGCUGCGCUGAAACUGUCCUUCCUGCCUUUGGUGGUGGACGGGGAGCUUGGGAGAAGGGGCGUUAGGAGGUGGGGCUUUCCCCUUUCCACGUCGCCAUUCCCCAGGCUAGACAGCAGGGAACUGAGCAGCCCGCCACUGCCAGAUUCUGAUAGGUUUAGGGGCAUCCGUGGAGGGGGCCAGGAUGGGGACUAACCUGUGCUCCCACCAUCCCCCCAGCAAACACAAACCCAAACUCCUAUCAGUAGCUGCCACUUCCAAGAAGCCAGGCCCUUCUUCUUUUUUUCGUUUUUGAGACGGAGUUUUGCUCUUGUUGCCCA
rnacentral:lncRNA from 1 species